GGAAAAGCUCCUGGACCUAUAAAAAGCUUAAAAAGAGGGAUGAGGAGGCUAACAGAGAGUGGCUCCUCAAGGAGGCGAGGGCCAUCGUGAAGCAACAGCUGUGGGCCCCCACCAGAUCCCAGGAUAGGAAGAAGCAGGGCAUGGUCCCGUUCCUCGGACUGUUUCUGCGUGACGUGCCCGUAGACCAACUCCCAGAAUAUAAUGAGGACGUGAGUGAGCCCAGAGGGGCACAGGAGGGCAGGAUGGUGAGCUUUAGAGAGGAGAGAGCCCCCAGUGAGCCUGGACCUCUCAGCACUGGGACC